rnacentral:lncRNA from 1 species
UUAAUCAAAACCGUAAGUAUAUUCAUACAUUCAAGUAACAUAAAACUGGCCUAUCUGCCUUAAUGUGCGUUUCUAUCAGCUAAAAGUCCCAUGUAGUAUAUCUUCAAAGUAACUUUAUUGUUGCUCAGAUUCAGAGCUUGACAAUUCAGACAUUGCUCCAAAGGAUCUGAAGGUCAGUGUCAUGGGAGAGAAGGCACCUGACAGAAACACCAUGGCUUCCUUGGAAAGUGUGCGUGCUUUUGUUCUGUUACAAUGAAAAUGCAUCUUCACUGAGACUAGCACUGUUGGCAGUCUCAAGGGAAAGGGGAAGUUCUGAUUUGCACAUUUUUUUCUUCUGCAGGGUCUCUUUGGCAGAGCAGGAUGCAGAAGCCCCUCCUGCCAUGACUUGCCCUGUAGUUACUUUGUGGGGAGAACAGAUGAGUUCAGCAUACAGGUCAGUUCAUCCUUGUGCUCAGAAGCAGAUCUCCAUCCUCAGGGUUUGA